rnacentral:rRNA from 1 species
GGGGAAUUUUGCACAAUGGGCGCAAGCCUGAUGCAGCGACGCCGCGUGAGGGAUGGAGGCCUUCGGGUUGUGAACCUCUUUCGCUCAUGGUCAAGCCGCAGGGUUGCCUGUGGUGAGGGUAGUGGGUAAAGAAGCGCCGGCUAACUACGUGCCAGCAGCCGCGGUAAUACGUAGGGCGCGAGCGUUGUCCGGAAUUAUUGGGCGUAAAGGGCUUGUAGGCGGCUUGUCGCGUCUGCCGUGAAAUCCUCUGGCUUAACUGGGGGCGUGCGGUGGGUACGGGCUGGCUUGAGUGCGGUAGGGGAGACUGGAAUUCCUGGUGUAGCGGUGGAAUGCGCAGAUAUCAGGAGGAACACCGGUGGCGAAGGCGGGUCUCUGGGCCGUUACUGACGCUGAGGAGCGAAAGCAUGGGGAGCGAAC